GGGGACGAAAUUGGUUUCGACGGGUUACGUGGUGUUAGUGGCUGCAUGUCGAGGAGGUCCCGGUCACCUCGUAAAUCAACCGGGAAACGAAAGUAAUUGCAGACAAUUACAACUACGCUCUGGCUGCUUAAUAAACAGCCAGCGUCCGCUCUCGAUUGUGCCCGCUGAAUGGAGAGACGGGCGUCGAUUCCAGUGGGAUUGUCACCUUUGAGGUCUCGGCACAGGUGAUGAAAUUUUACGAGACUGGAUCACUUUAGGUUUGUUCGCUGCACCAGAGGUGAUCGAGAAACAAGCGUUGAACUAAACAUGUAGAAGCUGCUAUGGCCGGUUUCCCGGACGCGGGUUCGACUCCCGCCGUCUCCACUU
rnacentral:tmRNA from 1 species